rnacentral:rRNA from 1 species
CCCUUAGAUGUUCUGGGCCGCACGCGCGCUACACUGGUGCAUUCAACAAGUUCUACCUUGGCCGAGAGGCCUGGGAAAUCUUUCAAAUAUGUAUCGUGAUAGGGAUAGAUUAUUGCAAUUAUUAAUCUUGAACGAGGAAUUCCUAGUAAAUGCAGAUCAUCAUUCUGCGUUGAUUACGUCCCUGCCCUUUGUACACACCGCCCGUCGCACCUACCGAUUGAAUGAUCCGGUGAAGCCUCGGGAUUGUGCCCAGAGAACUUUAUUGUGAUUUGGGUGUGAGAACUUGUCUAAACCUUAUCAUUUAGAGGAAGGUGAAGUCGUAACA